rnacentral:rRNA from 1 species
GACGAACGCUGGCGGCGUGCUUAACACAUGCAAGUCGAACGGAAAGGCACUAGUUUGGUGGUGUGGACGAGUGGCGAACGGGUGAGUAACACGUGAGUAACCUGCCCUUCACUUUGGGAUAAGCUCGGGAAACUGGGGCUAAUACCGGAUACGACCGAUCGCCGCAUGGAGGGGUGGGGAAAGUUUUUGGUGGUGGGGGAUGGACCCGCGGCCUAUAAGCUUGUUGGUGGGGUGUUGGCCUACCAAGGCGUCGACGGGUAGCCGGCCUGAGAGGGUGACCGGCCACACUGGGACUGAGAUACGGCCCAGACUCCUACGGGAGGCAGCAGUGGGGAAUAUUGCACAAUGGGCGGAAGCCUGAUGCAGCGACGCCGCGUGCGGGAUGACGGCCUUCGGGUUGUAAACCGCUUUCGCCUGUGACGAAGCGUGCGUGACGGUACCGGGAGAAGAAGCACCGGCUAACUACGUG